rnacentral:rRNA from 1 species
GUGCCAGCCGCCGCGGUAAUACGGAGGGUGCGAGCGUUAAUCGGAAUUACUGGGCGUAAAGCGCAUGCAGGUGGUUUGUUAAGUCAGAUGUGAAAGCCCGGGGCUCAACCUCGGAAUUGCAUUUGAAACUGGCAGACUAGAGUACUGUAGAGGGGGGUAGAAUUUCAGGUGUAGCGGUGAAAUGCGUAGAGAUCUGAAGGAAUACCGGUGGCGAAGGCGGCCCCCUGGACAGAUACUGACACUCAGAUGCGAAAGCGUGGGGAGCAAACAGGAUUAGAUACCCUGGUAGUCCACGCCGUAAACGAUGUCUACUUGGAGGUUGUGGCCUUGAGCCGUGGCUUUCGGAGCUAACGCGUUAAGUAGACCGCCUGGGGAGUACGGUCGCAAGAUUAAAACUUAAAUGAAUUGACGGGG